UCGUUAUUUUGUGCACCAAAGCUCUCCAUACUGCACGAUUUUCCGCCUUCCUAAUAAUAGGCGCCUGUGUAGAUCCCUGGCAGGCCUUCUUUAUGUCCACCCAGCGGGUUGGUGGAUGUCCACUACC